CCUUAAAAAUUCAAGAUUCCUUUAAAAAUCUUAAAUGAAUCAAAUUACCCUAGAAUCACUGUGGAUAGAAAUUCCUGGCUUGAAUAAUAGGCAUAUAGCAGUAGACUUAUACUACCGACCACCUGACCAGAAUAGUAAUGGUGAUUGUGAAAUGCUCAGGUUGAUGGGAGAGGCUACAAAAACAGAAAACCCAAUAAUAACAGGAAAUUUCAACUGUUCUCUUACUGACUGAAAACAUGUCAUCUUAGAACAGGAUACAGAGAUAAAAUUUCUAGACACUAUUAAUGACUGCUUUUGGAUCAUUAGUCCUGGAACUCACAAGGAGAGAGGCAAUUUUUGAUUUAAUCCUAAAUGGAGCACAGGAUCUAGUCCAAGAGGUGAAUAUAGCUGAACCGUUCAGUAAUAGCGACCAUAUUGUAAUUGAAUUUAACAUGCUUGUAGCGGGGAAAAUAUGGCAUUUAACUUCAAAAAGGGGAAAUAUACAAAAAUGAAGAAGCCAGCUAAAUGGAAAUUAAAAGAAUGAAAUACCUGCAGAAUGAAAUGCCUGCAAGCUGCAUUGAAACUA